rnacentral:lncRNA from 1 species
UCCCGGUGCGGAUUCUGACAGGGCUCGAGAGCUGAAGGUGGCGCGGCCUCCCACCCGGCGAGGCGGCAGAGUUCCAGGUUGCCGGCCCGGGUCGAGCGGGAAGGGGUGUGCCUUUUAAAGCCAUCCUCUCAGUCUUGAACUUUAAGAAAAGAUGUGGAGUGGGCUGUUACCUCCUGGACUAAAUGAGAGCGAUGUUGAGUCAGAUUCUGAAGAUGAAAUCACACUGGAGAACCCAGAGCCUUCAGAACAUAAUUCACAGGAAGAUGGAGAGGCUGGCAGCAAUAAGGGACCAGCAGUGUCAGACUGCCCAGCAGGCCAGCCAGAGAUGGGGACACAGACUGGUGCAGAUGCAGAUGCAUAUGAGAAGUGUCCUUCUGGGAUUCCCCUGAACAUGUGGAAUAAAUUUCAAGAAUUGCAUAAAAAAAAUUCUGAACAGAAAAAUUCAACGCCAAGAUUCAGACAGAAAAAAAGAAAA